rnacentral:lncRNA from 1 species
ACACACGUAGGCUUUCCAGCCUAGCCAGUACCUGCAAUGACUGACUUUCUCCACGCAUAGUUGAGGGCACUGUGGGCCACACUGCAGGCUGCCCUCGGCCUGGAGAAUUGCUUCUCCCAGGUCACAGAAGGACACAGCAAGCCGGAAGAGGAGGUCAGGAGUAGCCGAGAGCUCCUGCUAUCACCCAUGACCGUUGGCAGGAAGAAGGAAAAGUUCUGACUGAGGGCUCCAUCAGCUCCAUCCAGGUCAGCAUUGCUGUGGAACAGACUGAUGAGGUGGAGAUUUUAUGCCACAAGUUCACGUGCUUCAUGACAAUGUGAGCAGAGAGUGGCCGCUGUUUCUCCUCGUCUGUCAGUGCAGUGCCUGACAGAGGUGGGCAGGAAAUAUCUUUCAUUUACCCUACCCUGUGGGUGCCCUGGAGCUACCAGAUCUCCGAGGACUCUGGAACCAUCUCAACUUUGAUCACAGGAAAACUUCGUGAGCUGGAAGAAGUUAGUGGGUCCACAGUCCCCACUCACCAGCAGCCCCUGAGCGGAUGGAAUUUUGGAAACUUGGUGAUCCUGCAUGAACCUGCAGGUGGAAGGUGCACUUGGUGGAAAGCCAUCCUUAGAACAACACAAGUGGAGACAGAGAAGACACAUCUAACAAAGGAAGAAGAAUGUGCUGGGAGACAUGUUUGGCCUUCAUAGGUCUUGGACAAAUAAAUCAUGGUUGACCUGAGAAUGGCCCA